rnacentral:rRNA from 1 species
AAAUGAAUUGACGGGGACCCGCACAAGCGGUGGAGCGUGUUCUUUAAUUCGAUGCUAAACGAAGAACCUUACCAGGGCUUGACAUCCCGAGAAUUACUGCGAAAGCAGUGAGUGCCUUAGGGAACUCGGUGACAGGUGCUGCAUGGCCGUCGUCAGCUCGUGUCGUGAGAUGUUUGGUUAAGUCCAUCAACGAGCGCAACCCCUAUGAAUAGUUGAAUUUUUCUAUUCAGACUGCCCCGGCAACGGGGAGGAGGGGGGGGAUGAUGUCAGGUCAGUAUUGCCCUUACGUCCUGGGCUAGAAACGCGCUACAAUGGCCGGUACAACGCGAUGCCAACCCGCAAGGGGGAGCAAAUCGCAUCAAAGCCGGUCCCAGUUCAGAUUGCAGGCUGAAACUCGCCUGCAUGAAGUCGGAAUCGCUAGUAAUCGCAGAUCAGCACGCUGCGGUGAAUACGUUCCCGGGUCUUGCACACACCGCCCGU